rnacentral:rRNA from 1 species
AUUGAACGCUGGCGGCAUGCUUUACACAUGCGAGUCGAACGGUAACAGGCCGCAAGGUGCUGACGAGUGGCGAACGGGUGAGUAAUGCAUCGGAACGUGCCCAGUCGUGGGGGAUAACGCAGCGAAAGCUGUGCUAAUACCGCAUACGAUCUAUGGAUGAAAGCGGGGGACCGGAAGGCCUCGCGCGAUUGGAGCGGCCGAUGUCAGAUUAGGUAGUUGGUGGGGUAAAGGCCUACCAAGCCGACGAUCUGUAGCUGGUCUGAGAGGACGACCAGCCACACUGGGACUGAGACACGGCCCAGACUCCUACGGGAGGCAGCAGUGGGGAAUUUUGGACAAUGGGCGCAAGCCUGAUCCAGCAAUGCCGCGUGCAGGAAGAAGGCCUUCGGGUUGUAAACUGCUUUUGUACGGAACGAAACGGCCUGGGUUAAUACCCUGGGCUAAUGACGGUACCGUAAGAAUAAGCACCGGCUAACUACGUGCCAGCCGCCGCCGUAAGAC